GGGCCCGCACAAGCGGUGGAGCAUGUGGUUUAAUUCGAUGCAACGCGAAGAACCUUACCAGGGUUUGACAUCCUGCGAAUCUCUUGGAAACAGGAGAGUGCCUUCGGGAACGCAGUGACAGGUGGUGCAUGGCUGUCGUCAGCUCGUGUCGUGAGAUGUUGGGUUAAGUCCCGCAACGAGCGCAACCCACGUCUUUAGUUGCCAGCAUUUAGUUGGGCACUCUAGAGAGACCGCCGGUGAUAAACCGGAGGAAGGUGUGGAUGACGUCAAGUCAUCAUGCCCCUUACAUCCUGGGCUACACACGUACUACAAUGCUACGGACAAAGAGCAGCAAGUUCGCGAGGACAAGCAAAUCUCAUAAACCGUGGCUCAGUUCAGAUCGUAGGCUGCAACUCGCCUACGUGAAGGAGGAAUC
rnacentral:rRNA from 1 species